GCCUCGCUGGCUCAGUUGGUAGAGCGUGUAAUUCUUGAUCUCAAGGUAGUGAGUUUCAGCCUCACGUUGGGCA
rnacentral:tRNA from 1 species